rnacentral:misc_RNA from 1 species
AAGUCGUAACAAGGUUUCCGUAGGUGAACCUGCGGAAGGAUCAUUACCUUUCCAUGCAGAAGGAGUACGCAGGGCUUGCCCUCGCAAUUCUUCCUGUAUACCACCCUUGUCUUUUUGCGCACUCAUGUUUCCUCGGCAGGCUUGCCUGCCGGUCGGACAAAACUUAUAAACUUUUUAAUUGUCAAUCAGCGUCUGAAAUUAUUUUAAUAAUUACAA